rnacentral:lncRNA from 1 species
AAAAACAGAGCAGAGAGAAUGAGCGGUGGUGUUAGCAAACACCGUUCUAUUUUCCGAAUUAAAUUCGAAUUUCACCGUGGCAGCCGUUUCGGAGGGCGGAGAUUUCUCUCGAAACGUGCCAACAGCUGGCCCUCCCCCCCCCCUCUCCCCCUCUCCUUUGUUUCCCCAAGAGACGAGAGACGAUUUGCACGCGAGCAGAGAAAAGAAAUUCGCUUAACCAUAUACCGGGGAGAGGGUUGUGCGUUUCUCAUAUUUCAGUCUUCCGUUGUGACAGCGGCUAGACGGGGCCGAAACGAUGGUAGAUUCGCGAGUCGGUUUAAAUUAGGGAGUCUAGACGCCUCGGAAAUACCACGUGGACCGCGUCAUGCUACAUCCACCGACUUCCAAUUCGAACGUUCGCGCCUCCGUGCUUCCGUCGAUCUGUAUCUGUGUUGGAUCUAACUGGUGUGAAAAUUUUCCUGUACAAAAUCCUGUUUAAAUUUUUAGCCCGUGUUCGUUUCGUUUCUUUGUCUAUUUGCGAAAGAAUGGGGAAUUUUAAUAUUCUUCAAAGUUUAGUUGAAAGAAGGUUUAGGAAACUAGGGGAAACUUUUUGCAAAAUCGGUUUAUCCUACGUUGGAUUAAAAACUGGGAACCGGAACCGUCGCUGUUUCUCUAAUUAUUUGCCGGGAUUUUUAAUUAAUUCUUGCAUCGAAAUUCCAUUAACAAGUGGAAUAACUGGAUGCGUCUAAAUAAAUCUCCAGCUUUUAAGAUUGCGUGAAAAUGAAUUUGAUUUCGCCGGAAGUUUGUAAAGAAACGUUUGUAAAUAAAGAAUCUAUCUAAUCUAAAUGCAACUUGUUUAAUAAAGUUUUCAACUGACUUUUAUUUCCUAUAAUAAAUUUUCUAAAUCAUUUCAUAAAAUGAUUCAAGUUAUUUCGCCUUCCUAUAUACUAUUUAUUAUAAAACCUAGAAGGCCUAAUUAAAUACCUGUAAUUAUUUUAUUUUACCCAUUUUAUUUCACGCUUAAUAGUUUGCAACCAGGAAGUUGAUAAAAUAAAUUAAAUUGAAUAUUCCUCCAGCAGAGGAACAAUUUAUUCCACCCUAUACUUGUGCAACCAUGGACCAUCCUGUUGCAACAGCCGGUUCGAGGCCCUUCGUAAAUUCAUUAAUGAAAAAUUACGACGAAGGCAGUAUAGUAGCUUCACUUUCCCCCAUUCUCGACUGGCGCAGCGUUGUCUCGUGGUCGGUGAUACCUAUCGGCGUCGUGUGGCGGCGCCAUGGUCGCAUGGCCGCCCUCAGUGUUCGCGAGCCUCGCUCGGUGUGUGUUUCGUGGCGCGGUUGUCGUCGUCGUUGUUGCCCGUUCAUCUGGUCUCCGUUUGUUUUUACAUGUUACAUCGGUGCAGUGGUAAUUAAUUCCGUCGCGAAUCCGUCCCCACGCGAAUCAACCAAUUUGCCGUGUAUACCGCGUCCUCGCGAAUUCGUCAGUUUUUUCACGAACAUCUCAACGCGAGACGUUUCUCGCGUUUGUGUCUCUCUCUCUUGUGCGCGACAGCGAGAGAGCGUGUGUGUCAACUUUCGUGUGCGUACUUCCCCGUCGACGUCGGUGUCGCCGUUGUAUUUCUUCGUCGUCGUAGUCGUGAUCGUGCUCGUCGUCGUCGUCGUCGUCGUCGUCGUCUUCGUCUUUUUCUUCUCUCGUGCUAAGUCCGCAGUUCGUGGCAUCGUGCCUCUCCACAAUUGUGCCUGCAUCGCUCUGUCUCUCUUCUACGUGCCUCUGUGCGUACGCGCGUAGUAUGUGCUUCUGUGUUUAUAAUAGUUGCGUCCUUUCUCUCCGUCUCGCUCUCCUCUCACCUGCAGCUAGAAGGCACACAGGUGUCCCGUGAAGGAGUGGCGACGCCUGCCGUGAAUCGUCACCGCUGUGAUAUUACGUCGAGAGGAGCUCUCGUGACUCCUCCAUCGAAUCCUGCCAUCCGAAAACAGCCAUCCACACUGCCCUGGAAUUGUCAAGACGAUUUCGUGGAGCGUCGACCGGAGCCACGGAGUGUCUCGUGGCCAUCGCGAGAGAAAAAAAAA